rnacentral:rRNA from 1 species
UGAAUACGAGAUGCUACGGCGUCGAAGCAGUCUAUGUCAUACUUCCAAGAAAAGCUCGCACUGUCAUAAACAAAUAAUGCCUGUACCAUAACCGACACAGGUGGGUAGGUAGAGUAUACUAAGGGGCGCGAGAUAACUCUCUCUAAGGAACUCGGCAAAAUGACUCCGUAACUUCGGGAGAAGGAGUGCCUUAUUUAUAAGGUUGCAAUAACAAGAUCCAAGCAACUGUUUAUCAAAAACACAGGUCUCCGCUAAGUCGUAAGACGAUGUAUGGGGGCUGACGCCUGCCCAGUGCCAGAAGGUUAAAGAAGUUGGUUAGCAUUCGCGAAGCUGAUAACUGAAGCCCUGGUGAACGGCGGCCGUAACUAUAACGGUCCUAAGGUAGCGAAAUUCCUUGUCGGGUAAGUUCGACCCGCACGAAAGGCGUAAUGAUUUGGAUACUGUCUCGGAGAGGGGCUCGGUGAAAUAGACUUGUCUGUGAAGAUGCGGACUACCUGCACCAGGACAGAAAGACCCUAUGAAGCUUUACUGUAACUUGAGAUUGAAAUUGGACUUUACUUGCGCAGUAUAGGUGGGAGGCGUUGAUAAUAUUCUUGCGGGAUUAUUUGAGCCAUCAGUGAGAUACCACUCUUGUAAUGUUAGAUUUCUAACUUUGUAUCAUUAUCUGGUCAAAGGACAGUUUCAGGCGGGCAGUUUGACUGGGGCGGUCGCCUCCUAAACGGUAACGGAGGCGCACAAAGGUUUCCUCUGAACGGGUAGAAAUCGUAUCUAGAGUGUAAAGGCAUAAGGAAGCUUGACUGUGAGACCUACAAGUCGAGCAGGGACGAGAGUCGGUCUUAGUGAUCUGACGGUGCUGAGUGGAAAGGCCGUCACUCAACGGAUAAAAGUUACUCUAGGAUAACAGGCUGAUCUCCCCCAAGAGUUCACAUCGACGGGGAGGUUUGGCACCUCGAUGUCGGCUCAUCGCAUCCUGGGGCGGUAGUACGUCCCAAGGGUUGGGCUGUUCGCCCAUGAAAACGGUACGCGAGCUGGGUUCAGAACGUCGUGAGACAGUUCGGUCCAUAUCCGGUGUAGGCGUUAGAAUAUUGAGAGGAGCCUUCUUUAGUACGAGAGGACCGAGAAGGACAUACCUCUGGUGUACCAGUUAUCGUGCCAACGGUAAACGCUGGGUAGCUAUGUAUGGAGUGGAUAACCGCUGAAAGCAUCUAAGUGGGAAGCCCACCUCAAGAUAAGUAUUC